rnacentral:rRNA from 1 species
UACGGAGGGUGCAAGCGUUAAUCGGAAUUACUGGGCGUAAAGCGCACGCAGGUGGCUGAGUCAGUCGAUUGUGAAAGCCCUGGGCUUAACCUGGGAAUUGCAGUCGAUACUACUCAGCUAGAGUAUGGGAGAGGGUAGUGGAAUUCCCGGUGUAGCGGUGAAAUGCGUAGAUAUCUGGAGGAACACCGGUGGCGAAGGCGGCAUCCUGGACCGACACUGACACUGAGGAGCGAAAGCCAGGGGAGCAAACGGG